GCUCUGGGAUAAGCCUGGGAAACUGGGUCUAAUACCGGAUAUGACUCCAUGACGCAUGUUGUGGGGUGGAAAGCCUUGUGCGGCUAGGGAUGGGCCCGCCGGCCUAUCAGCUUGUUGGUGGGGUGAUGGCCUACCAAGGCGACGACGGGUAGCCGGCCUGAGAGGGCGACCGGCCACACUGGGACUGAGACACGGCCCAG
rnacentral:rRNA from 1 species